rnacentral:rRNA from 1 species
GAUUAAGUUAUUAAGGGCGCACGGUGGAUGCCUUGGCACUAGAAGCCGAUGAAGGACGUUACUAACGACGAUAUGCUUUGGGGAGCUGUAAGUAAGCUUUGAUCCAGAGAUUUCCGAAUGGGGAAACCCAGCAUGAGUUAUGUCAUGUUAUCGAUAUGUGAAUACAUAGCAUAUCAGAAGGCACACCCGGAGAACUGAAACAUCUUAGUACCCGGAGGAAGAGAAAGAAAAUUCGAUUCCCUUAGUAGCGGCGAGCGAAACGGGAAGAGCCCAAACCAACAAGCUUGCUUGUUGGGGUUGUAGGACACUCUAUACGGAGUUACAAAGGACGACAUUAGACGAAUCAUCUGGAAAGAUGAAUCAAAGAAGGUAAUAAUCCUGUAGUCGAAAAUGUUGUCUCUCUUGAGUGGAUCCUGAGUACGACGGAGCACGUGAAAUUCCGUCGGAAUCUGGGAGGACCAUCUCCUAAGGCUAAAUACUCUCUAGUGACCGAUAGUGAACCAGUACCGUGAGGGAAAGGUGAAAAGCACCCCGGAAGGGGAGUGAAAUAGAACCUGAAACCGUGUGCUUACAAGUAGUCAGAGCCCGUUAAUGGGUGAUGGCGUGCCUUU